rnacentral:tRNA from 1 species
UUUCUUUAUAGUUUAGUGAGAAUAGGAUUUUGAAGAAGUCAAGGCAGUUUUA